rnacentral:ncRNA from 2 species
GGUUGGGCAGGAUUCGGUUCCGAAUUCUGUUUUCAAGAUUUUGAGCUUUAAGGGUGGGAAGCU